GCUGGGCGGGUAGCCGGAGGGGCAGGGGUCCUGGGCGAGGCGUGGGGUCCCGAGCCUCGCGAUCGCUCGCCGAAUGCAGUGUACUUUUGCAGAAGUUGUUCAUGACUACACUUAAAUGUGCUCCUUUUAGGGAAAUCGGAAACGUAGACACAAAUCUCCCACGGCCACACUCUGCACGCAUGAUGCUACUGAGGGGCCCGGGUUCAGACUUUUCUCGCCUACACCCGGCUCUGGGGCUCGGCUUUCUGGGCUUUCUGUGAGUCGCGUGGGCCCACUGAGAGCCCAGGCACCACCUGCCGCAUCCCCUUUGGAGCCCCCUUCGGUUCACUGUGUGCUGAGCCCCUGGAGAAUCGCCCACCGCGCAGGGAUAGUGAUUUUUAAAGAGCCUGUUGGUCUACCCGACAAGACUCCAGAGGAUGCUGGGAUUGCCUGAGACUUGAUAAACGUGCAGAGGGCCAACCCAUGCUCUAGCUCCUCUGUCCCCGCAGCAGCCUUGCCCAGUUGGGAGGUCCCAGGCCCGGUCCUGGGGACGGCAGACAGCGCUUAGAGUCUUCAUGUGGGAGGCGAGGCUGGACCCCCACAGAACCUGCUGCCCACGUCUGUGCUGUGGAGUUUCCAUGUGCUCUGUCAGGAGAGAGGUUGAGAAACACCAGAUUCUGUCCUUUCGUCUUGUGGCAGGAUGGUGCUGCAUUGGCCCCACUGCACAGAUAAGAAAACUGAGGCUCCAAGCAAGAGACCCUUACAUGCUACCUCGCGUAUCCCGCUCAGCAUCGUGAGACAGGAAAGAAACCGAAAACAGGGUUUUCCAUGGCCGUGUCACAAGUUCCUACACAUUCGGCAGAUUAAAGCAGGUGCCCUCGUGAUCUCAUCAUUUCUGUGUGUCGGGAAUCUGGGUGGGCUCAGCUGGGUUCCCUGAUCAGAGUGUCCCUGGCCGCAGAUCAGGUGUCAGCUGCCCAGUGGGGUCCUUUCAAGAGCUGGGGGCCUCCUGCAAGCUCGCGGGGUUGUUGGCAGAAUACGGCUCCCUCUGGUUGUAGGACUGAGGUCUCACUUUCUUGCUGACUGUGGGCCAGGGCCUGCUCUCAGUUCCUGGGGUCUGAAGUACCUUUCCAUGUGGCCCCCUCACGGGCCCCCUUAUGGGCCUGCUCAUAUGCUUUGGCAGCCCAUUUCCUGACGGCUAGCGGAGGGCCUGCCUCUCCAGUUUGCUGAGACCGAGCAUCCCGUGAUGUGUUAUGAUCAAGUGAAUGAGCUGAGUGACUAGGCGGUCCCUUUGCUGAAUUCUGUUGACUGGAUGCAGAUCACAGGUUUCAUCUGUAUCAAGGCGCUCUGGCCCCCCUUCCCUGCCCCCGCUGUGCUUAAGACCAACUGUGCCUUACUUGGCUAACGUGGCUGCUGGUACGCCAGUGGCUUUGCUGAGUGGGAAACCGGACUUGAUCUUGCUGCUGCGGGAGGCUGAGCAGAAUGAAAAGGUUGAUUUCUGCUCUGUGGGUCUCCCUUUUUGGAAGGACAGCCAAGGUUCUGAGUUCUGAGUCGACCUCCUUAGGGGAGGAGGCGGGUGAACAGUUCUUUGUGUUUCUUUGGGUCCAUGGAAGGGAGGGCCUGCGGGCUUUGAGGGACGGGCUGGGGCUUGGAUUCCGGGAUCGGUGCCCUCGUGUCCCCCCCAGAUGCAUGGAUGUUGGGGGUGGGCAUGGGGCUGGAUACUGGGGAGUGAGAUACGAGGUGCUACAGACCACAUGGCCAAGCUCAUGGUCGGCAUAUCAACGGCACAGUGGGAGUGACUGGUUCACCUCUGCUGUGGCCCUGGG